CCAUUCACUUGUAUUAGUUUCCAGCGCAGUCUUGAACAUCCAAUAUGGCGGCGACGUUGACGUAUCGCAGCAGUCGACCCUGCGGACUCGGCGUUUAUGCACAAACACGUCUGGUCGUGGCACCGCAGGGAGGCGUUUAUCUUAUCUAUCCCUUUAGCGUUGCUGUUUUCAUCGCCACGGCAACGAGAACAGCGACGCCUCCAGGUCGUGUUUCAGUUUUUGCACCUUAGAGGCUCCGAGCCGGGCGGAGCAACGCCUUGUGGCCACGCCUCCUAUGCAGGAAGUGGGCGGGGCCUCCUAUGCAGGAAGUGGGCGGAGCCUCCUAUGCAGGAAGUGGGCGGAGCCUCCUAUGCAGGAAGUGGGCGGGGCCUAGGAGGGAACGAGCCGCUUUUUUCGUUCUUCUUCUGGUCUCAUUCGUCCCGCGGCCGUCUCUCCUUCGGCAGCGGUUUUACCCGUCUCUUCGUCCUCCGCUCCUCCUCUUCCUCCUCUUCUUCUUCUUCGUGCCUUUUCUCGUCGCAGCGUGUGAAUGUUGCGGUUCGGAGGAAGUGAAGAAUCCGUUCAACGGAGCCGUCGGAACCGAACCGGAAAACGGGUUCAGUCUUCACUUCUCUCUCAGAUCUUUAUCAAACGUUUUAACGCCGCUCUUACUCCGAAAAACUGAUUCUGAUUCCUGGAUCAUUUAUUAUUAUUAUUAUUAUUACUAUUAUGAUUAUUAUCAAAGACGGCUGAGCCAAUGGCUGUUGAGUGUCGGUUCCACAGGGACCAGAACUCGGACCCCUGAAUCUUUCAGCUCCUGAACUUUGACCUUUUAAAACGAGUCACGGCUACGUGAAUAAACAGAUAUCGGAGGUUAUUUUAAAAAAUAAACGUAUUUAAUCACAAUCGUUACGUAGAGACACGCCCGGAUGUUGUCGUCCGUAACCAUGACGACAGUAAGAUGCAACUUCUGUAACUCCAGCAGUUUAACCCGAUCACCGACCAGAUCUACGUUUAGAUCUUCUACGUUUACCAUAGUACGUUAGCAUCAUAGCAUCAUAUGUUAGCAUCACAGGUUAGCAUCAUACAUUAGCAUCACAGGUUAGCAUCAUACGUUAGCAUCACAGGUUAGCAUCAUACGUUAGCAUCACAGGUUAGCAUCAUACGUUAGCAUCACAGGUUAGCAUCAUACGUUAGCAUCACGGACUAGCAUACUACGUUAGCAUCACAGGUUAGCGUCAUACGUUAGCAUCACAGGUUAGCAUCAUACGUUAGCAUCACAGGUUAGCAUCAUACGUUAGCAUCACAGGUUAGCAUCAUACGUUAGCAUCACAGGUUAGCGUCAUACGUUAGCAUCACGGGUUAGCAUCAUACAUUAGCAUCACAGUUUAGCAUCAUUCAUUAGCAUCACAGUUUAGCAUCAUACAUUAGCAUCACGGGUUAGCAUCAUACGUUAGCAUCACGGGUUAGCAUCAUAUGUUAGCAUCAUACAUUAGCAUCACAGGUUAGCAUCAUACGUUAGCAUCACGGGUUAGCAUCAUACAUUAGCAUCACGGGUUAGCAUCUUACGUUAGCAUCACAGGUUAGCAUCAUACAUUAGCAUCACAAGUUAGCAUCAUACGUUAGCAUCACAGGUUAGCAUCACGGGUUAGCUUCAUACAUUAGCAUCACGGGUUAGCAUCAUACGUUAGCGUUAGCUGAGCCAAAUGUCCCCGAACCACAACCACCUGAACAUGAACCAAAACUCAACGAUCAGAACCAGUUUGAGGUCAAAGGUCAGGAUGAGCCUGAGCUGAACCUGAAGGCUGAUCCGGGUCUGAGUUCUGGUUCCGUAGGUCUGAGUUCUGGUUCCGUAGGUCUGAGUUCUGGUUCCGUAGGUCGGAGCGAGACGAGGUUUUCUGGUUUCCUGGUUCCGGUCGGCGCUGGAAGCCGACGGGACGUCAGGAAGUUCGUCGGUUCCGGAGGUUUUUCAGGUGGAAAACAGUUUAGUCUUUUAUCAGUAAAUCACUUUGUUUCUUCUGCUUUUGUUUCUCCGUUUGUUCGACUUUCGCCUCGUCUGCGUCGUUUUUAACCCAGAAAAGCUGCGUUGUGGCGGCGCUCGGACCCUCGUUUCCUCCUGCAGUUUCACAACGACACAAAGAAAAGAAAGAAAAGAAAGAAAAGAAAGAAAAGACGCCUUCGAUCAAACGAGACCCGAACACAAAGUUCAGGGUUCGAGUCUCGGCCGGUGGAAACGGAUCUGAACAGUUUCUGACCGAUUUAAAGAGUUCCUGACAUCCGUGUGUGUGUGUGUGUGUGUGUGUGUGUGUGUGUGUGUGUGUGUGUGUGUGUGUGUGUGUGUGUGUGUGUGUGUGUGUGUGUGUGUGUGUGUGUGUGUGUGUGUGUGUGUGUGUGUGUGUGUGUGUGUGUGUUCUGCCGCUGUUACAUAAUAAACCUGCCGUUCAGGUGCAGUUCCAGCCUCCGCCUGUAGAGGGAGCUGUUGACCAGCCGGGCCCUGAGAGAGAGAGUGUGUGUGUGUGUGUGAGUGUGUGUGUGUGUGUGUGUGUGUGUGUUAUGCACUUGGGAUCAGUUAAAGGCCAUAUUUCGUAUUUUUUUCAUAUUUUUUAUCGAUGUAUAUUAAUUUUCUCUCACACGUCAUUAAUGUUUAUAGUUUAUUUUGUUCCCGUUUUUUUAGGCUCCGCGGAUUAAAAAACUCGGACGUUCAUUCUGGAUAUUUGAGUAAUAAAUUUGACUUUUAUUUGAACUGUAAUAACCAGGGAAUGUUGAGUUUGUUGUAAAUAUUCCAGAGGUGCUUCUGAAGCUAACGAGACGUUUUGAAAGAGACUGUAUCUUCACGUUAUUUUACAGAAAAUAAACAAACAAAACCUG